UCAGGAUGAACGCUAGCUACAGGCUUAACACAUGCAAGUCGAGGGGAAACGAUAGAGAAAGCUUGCUUUUUCUAGGCGUCGACCGGCGCACGGGUGAGUAACGCGUAUCCAACCUGCCCAUCACCUGGGGAUAACCUUGCGAAAGUAAGACUAAUACCCAAUGACGUCUCUAGAAGACAUCUGAAGGAGAUUAAAGAUUUAUCGGUGAUGGAUGGGGAUGCGUCUGAUUAGCUUGUUGGCGGGGUAACGGCCCACCAAGGCGACGAUCAGUAGGGGUUCUGAGAGGAAGGUCCCCCACAUUGGAACUGAGACACGGUCCAAACUCCUACGGGAGGCAGCAGUGAGGAAUAUUGGUCAAUGGGCGAGAGCCUGAACCAGCCAAGUAGCGUGCAGGAUGACGGCCCUAUGGGUUGUAAGCUGCUUUUAUAAGGGAAUAAAGUGAGCCUCGUGAGGCUUUUUGCAUGUACCUUAUGAAUAAGGACCGGCUAAUUCCGUGCCAGCAGCCGCGGUAAUACGGAAGGUCCGGGCGUUAUCCGGAUUUAUUGGGUUUAAAGGGAGCGUAGGCCGGAGAUUAAGCGUGUUGUGAAAUGUAGACGCUCAACGUCUGCACUGCAGCGCGAACUGGUUUCCUUGAGUACGCACAAAGUGGGCGGAAUUCGUGGUGUAGCGGUGAAAUGCUUAGAUAUCACGAAGAACUCCGAUUGCGAAGGCAGCUCACUGGAGCGCAACUGACGCUGAAGCUCGAAAGUGCGGGUAUCGAACAGGAUUAGAUACCCUGGUAGUCCGCACGGUAAACGAUGGAUGCCCGCUGUUGGUCUGAAUAGGUCAGCGGCCAAGCGAAAGCAUUAAGCAUCCCACCUGGGGAGUACGCCGGCAACGGUGAAACUCAAAGGAAUUGACG
rnacentral:rRNA from 1 species